UACGGAGGGUGCAAGCGUUAUCCGGAUUCACUGGGUUUAAAGGGUGCGUAGGCGGGUUGGUAAGUCCGUGGUGAAAUCCCCAAGCUUAACUUGGGAACUGCCGUGGAUACUAUCAAUCUUGAAUAUCGUGGAGGUAAGCGGAAUAUGUCAUGUAGCGGUGAAAUGCUUAGAUAUGACAUAGAACACCAUUGCGUAGGCAGCUUACUACACGAUCAUUGACGCUGAGGCACGAAAGCGUGGGGAGCAAACAGG
rnacentral:rRNA from 1 species